rnacentral:ncRNA from 1 species
CCCGCACCUCCCGGCCCCCGGACGACGGUUCAGUACCCGGCACGCGACAAGACUGGC